rnacentral:misc_RNA from 1 species
GAGAGAGAAAAGAGAGACAAGGAGGGAGAGAGAGGGAGGGAGGUGAGAGAAAAUGUGUGAGAAAUACAUAAUAUGAUAUGGGCAUUUUGGUCCAAAAAAUGUGAUUGUUCUUAAUUUUGUGAAAUCCAUUUCAAAUUCCGCCUAUUUUGAUAGGAAUUGAGUUUAGUUAUAUUCAACUGAAUUCGUGGAAUUGAAUUCAAAAUUUUUUUCAAACCAAGGCAAAGAUGCAAAACAUGGAAUUCAAUUUAUUUACCCAAAAUUUUGUGGAAUUCAUUUGAACGAAGCAGGGAAUAAAUAUUUUGAUUUUUUGUUUUCAUAUGUUUCCUUUAAAGAUAUUGCUUGCCUCUCUAUGUCUCUGCAGCAUGGGAAAUAGUUGGAUUUUAGCCCUUUGAGGAGUGCAUUGAUUAUCUGUACUCUGUAUUGUGAUUUCUUAUCGUUCUUGUUAUAUAAUUUUGUUCAAUAUAGAUACUAUGACAACUCAUUAGUGCACUUGGCACUAGAGGUUCCAUUUUCCAAAGUGAAUCUUGUUUGAUAACACUUCAUUGUAGAUUAAUAGUUCUUGUAAAAAUAUCAAACAACAACAACAACUAAGCUUUAAUCCCAAACUAGUUGGG